CACAGACGUUUUCUUCGAAGUGUCAGAUGCUUCUGUAAAACAGUUAAAUUAUUUUGUUAAAUUAAUUAUGCAAUCGACUAAUACGAACCUACUCACAUAGUUCUAGAUGGAAAUGUAAAACAGAUUGUCAUUCUAAAAUAAAAUCAAACAACUGACUUGUGUGUUCAAGUUCUGGGAACUGGAUGAUGAUCGUCUUUCUGACGGUUUCGUCAAAGAUUUCCGUUGAUCUUCGUUUACGCCGAUUCGGUCCAUUUCCGGUACUACAGUUCAUCUACAAUUAGAUAUCGUUACUGUUACACACACACGUUAAUUAUUCUACACUACACCUUUAUACCUAUAUUAGGAAUAAAAUAUUGUGUUAUGCGAGGCUCUAUGGAUCUGUAUCUAGUGUCUCGUGUAUAGGACAGCCUCUCACGAGGAAAUCCUUUACUGAAGAUUUCAUCCUUUUUAAUCCUGUUUAAUUUACUGAUUGUUGUCGACAUUCCAGGAGAGUCUCAUAGGGAUGCAUUCGAGGUUUUUUUUAAAUUAGAUAUUUUACCAUCAUUACACAAUAUUUUCAUAUAUUUACCAUUUGUGGCACCCAGUAACCAAUAUGCAUUUUUGUGCUCGGGUAUCGUUAAACAUUCAUUCAUUCACCAUCAAUACAAAAUAUAGUUUUCACCAGAACAAAAUGUCAGCCUUUAAAAUCGGCAUAUGAUGAGCAUGCCCUAAGGUGUCUCAGAACUUGCAAAAUACAGACACCAAAAGCUGGAGCAGAAGGAAUAUUGCUAGACAUGAAGAGAUUGGAAAGCUGAAGUCAUGCUUUUUAUUAUACAACUUUGUAUGCAGGUCAACGUUGUUCUGAAUCUUUGUGUAUAUAUCAAGGUAUGAAACAGAUUGUAUACUUCCUGUAGUUUCCUUUAUGUCCAACUCUGGUGGAUAAACCAAUGACAGGUAAUAUGUGAUCUUAUUAUUAUUAUUAUAGAAAAUAAUAUAAGAUUAUUAAUGAAUGAUAAUAGAUCAUGAAUAUAUCAAAAGGUGAAAUUAAAACCUUUUUCUUCAGA